GCUAGUACUGUUUUAUGCACCUGCAUGUCCA
rnacentral:piRNA from 1 species